AUGAACCAGCUGCAAAAAUCAAUAAGUGCAAAAUUUAAGCGUGAAUACGCUGCGAAAAUAAAAAAGUUAAAAAUUCAAUGUGAAUUCGCCGCAAAAAUCAAGAUGUGCAACAAAAAUCAUUUUGGUUUUGCUCAAAUGAGGAUGAUAGGAUUUAUUCAACAAAGACAUAAAAAGGAUAAACAGGAAAAAUCACAAGGGAACAUGAUGAGGUAGGCAUUAUAUACAGGCGAACGGCUUUUAGAGAUGAGCCUAUGCUACAUUCACAAUCAAACACGAGCGAUUAUUCAAUAUAAAUUCUGAUUAAGACAAAGUCGUUAAAGAUCACGCCGGAAUGAAAUAUCAGCCUCCAUUGACUACCUUAUUAAAAAUUCCAGACUAAAAAUUUGUAGCAUUUUUAUUCUGGCACCGAAACAGAAAUAGAUAGACCGAUUUUUAGCAAAUUCGAGCUUCGGCAAGAAAGAAAUAAGAAAUUUCUUCUCUCUCUAGAGAAGAAACAUGAAUUGAAAGAAAAGGAGAUACGUCAAAAACAAAGCAGAAACCAGAAACUUAAAAAAGAACAAUCUUCCAUUACUAUUUGUGACUCACAAUAAACGAGUCCUCUGGCUAUGAGUCUCUCAGCAAGAUUGGUGUUCGCCACUGCCGUCUUCCUGUAUGUAUUUACAGUGCGGGAGUUGGUAGGAACAGCAAGAGUUAGUUGGAGGGCUAAGACUGCGUUUGGGUGUGGGGCUUUUUUGCUUUUUUUCUGUUUUUCUUCAAUCCAAAUAUUUGAUUGACAGGGACCAAAUCUGUAGAUUAAAUAUGUGGACAUUACAGAGCGAAAAUAAGUGGCUACCAAACACGGUCUUAACCAGGGUUGGUGGCAGGGCGAUUUCCUUUUCAUGUAUGAAGUAUAAACAACAUUCACGCUAGUGGGAAUUGGAGGCGGUAGGUGGCGAAACACUCUUUUCAGGGACUAGUUAGAGGGUUAUAUUAAU
rnacentral:lncRNA from 1 species